CUUGAUUACAGAGGUGAGGGAUGGCAGGCAGGAGCAGUCCGGGGAAGGAUUUUGUCACCAAUAACACUCGAGCAAAAAGGCUGGACUGCCUUUGUGGCCAGAUUGAAGAGAUCAUCACUCUCCUCAGUCAAUGGGUUUGUGAAGCUGUGAAGAGUGGCAGUUGGUGCUUCAAUGUUUGGAUUUUGCUUGAAGUUGAGUGAUCUCAAUAAUGCUUGAUGAGAGAGAAAAUCAAUCAUCACUGCUGCCUCUGCCUGCCUGCCUGCACUUCCAUUCCAGGCCCAGUGUGCCAUCCUCCUGUGACCAGACCCUCAGAGGUGGACUACAGAGACCCAGCGUUGGAGAAGCCUUCAACU